UCCCCUUGCCCAAUCAAGAGGGAGGCUAAUCUAUAAAGGGGAGAAGUGUCCAUCUCUCUGCCUCUCACUCUUUGGCUUUGGAGGGCACGCCCACUUCCGGCUGCCGCCCUUCCGUCUGAUUGUAGCUCACUGGUUGCAGGUUAAUGUGUGUUGGCUGCACUGUUUGUGCUGGUGCAGACUGUUUGGUUGGCGCGUCAUGAUUUUCAUCAUUGCAGACUUUUUGCUGAUUCCCCCUGGUCUGCCAGAACCUGGUGUUUGAUGCAUCGUUAACGCUUGUUAACAAAUCGCUUUUUGGACGGUACGGUCAGCCAUCACGGCUAACCAUAGCCUCAGGCUCCAUCUGCUCUGCCUGGUCUGGUGUGGUGUUGCACGGUGCGGCUGUCCUGGGUCUGUGUGGCCUGCUGUUCCUUUCCAGCCGCUGCCGUGGCCGCAACAGCUCGUCGAUCUGCGCUCGGGAGCGGGUGUGUGUCGGCCUGCUGGCAGCCAGAAUCUGGGUCCCAAUUGUGGGUUGCUGAGAGCUGCCGGUGGUGGUCCCUGGUGUCCUGGUGAUGGUUUCCCCUUUUGAGUGUGUGUGCUGUGCACCCCUUUUUUUGUUUUUUUAGUUUUUCACAUAUGAUCGGGGUAAUUUUGUUUUCCCUGGAUUCCUCUCACUCCCGACCCCCGACUGGCAGAGCAGACGCAGGUCCUGUUGGUGGGAUUUGUUAGGAGUCCUGCAUUCCUGGCCUGACUCCUGCCUCUGACUCUCUCCUGAUCUACCCGGAACCUGAAUCCCCCAAGCCCUGCGGACUCUUCCUGCCCUGCGUCAUUCUGCCCAUUCCCCUGCUCUGCUCUGCCUUGCUCAGCUCCCUGCACCUGCCCCAGCCUCAGAUUCGGCUGCCAGCCUCUGCCUCCACCUUGCCACUAAGAUUCUGAUGCUCCUUUUUACCUCAACAUCAGGUCGUAAUAAAACCAAUAAUCUGAUUCCUAUUCCUCACCUCGGUCUCUGUAUUUUGCACCCUGGGGUUCUCUGUACUAGCCCGUAGCAAUGUCACAAUAUUCAUAUCCACAGUAAUGCAUAAAAUAAAUGGGCUUUCAUUCAUUUCA